rnacentral:antisense_RNA from 1 species
CUUGACCGACCCCAGUCGCAGGGGGCGCCCGGCGGGGCGCUCCCGGCCGUAGGUGGCCAGCAACGCCUGCGCCUC